rnacentral:piRNA from 1 species
UACAAACUAACACCGUCCCCUUCACUCC